CGCACCUGCCUCUCACCCACAG
rnacentral:miRNA from 1 species